UACGGAGGGUGCAAGCGUUGUCCGGAUUUAUUGGGUUUAAAGGGUGCGUAGGCGGUUAAUUAAGUCAGAGGUGAAAGGGAACUGCUUAACGAUUAACUUGCCAUUGAUACUGAUUAACUUGAAAGGGGCUGAGGGUGGCGGAAUGUGAUAUGUAGCGGUGAAAUGCUUAGAUAUAUCGCAGAACACCGAUUGCGAAGGCAGCUGACUAAGCCUUCUUUGACGCUGAGGCACGAAAGCGUGGGGAGCGAACAGG
rnacentral:rRNA from 1 species